rnacentral:rRNA from 1 species
GAGUUUGAUCAUGGCUCAGGAUGAACGCUAGCGGCAGGCUUAACACAUGCAAGUCGAGGGGUAUAGUUCUUCGGAAUUAGAGACCGGCGCACGGGUGCGUAACGCGUAUGCAAUCUACCUUUCACAGAGGGAUAGCCCAGAGAAAUUUGGAUUAAUACCUCAUAGUAUAACGACUCCGCAUGGAGAUGUUAUUAAAGUCACAACGGUGAAAGAUGAGCAUGCGUCCCAUUAGCUAGUUGGUAAGGUAACGGCUUACCAAGGCUACGAUGGGUAGGGGUCCUGAGAGGGAGAUCCCCCACACUGGUACUGAGACACGGACCAGACUCCUACGGGAGGCAGCAGUGAGGAAUAUUGGACAAUGGGCGCAAGCCUGAUCCAGCCAUGCCGCGUGCAGGAUGACGGUCCUAUGGAUUGUAAACUGCUUUUGCACAGGAAGAAACAACGUUACGUGUAGCGUCUUGACGGUACUGUGAGAAUAAGGAUCGGCUAACUCCGUGCCAGCAGCCGCGGUAAUACGGAGGAUCCAAGCGUUAUCCGGAAUCAUUGGGUUUAAAGGGUCCGUAGGCGGUUUAGUAAGUCAGUGGUGAAAGCCCAUCGCUCAACGGUGGAACGGCCAUUGAUACUGCUAGACUUGAAUUAUUAGGAAGUAACUAGAAUAUGUAGUGUAGCGGUGAAA